rnacentral:rRNA from 1 species
AUAUUGCGCAAUGGAGGAAACUCUGACGCAGCAACGCCGCGUGCAGGAAGAAGGCCCUUUGGGUCGUAAACUGCUGUAGCAGGGGAAUAACGGUCUCCCACGGGGAGACGUGAAGGUACCCUGAAAGUAAGCUCCGGCUAACUACGUGCCAGCAGCCGCGGUAAUACGUAGGGAGCAAGCGUUGUCCGGAUUCACUGGGUGUAAAGGGUGCGUAGGCGGGACAAUAAGUCAGUGGUGAAAUCUUACGGCUCAACCGUGAAACUGCCAUUGAUACUGUUGUUCUUGAGUUCGGGAGAGGUUGAUGGAAUUCCAGGUGUAGCGGUGAAAUGCGUAGAUAUCUGGAAGAACACCAGUGGCGAAGGCGGUCAACUGGCCCGAAACUGACGCUGAGGCACGAAAGCGUGGGGAGCGAACAGG